GAGGGGCCAGUCCCGAGGGGACGGGGCUCCAACCUCACCUUCCUGCUGUCGUGGAGAAGAAAAGUGGUAAUGACCGCUACUGUGCACUGGGCUCUCGCUCUGUGCUUUGCUUGUGUUUGCUCAGUUAAUCCUCCCAACAUGCCUCUAAGGUGCACUGGCCAUUGAGUCUUUCCUGAUCCUCUGGAAAUGAACAUGGGAGGAGCUUCCUGGGAAAGCAUGGGCAAGACGGGAGAGGAGGAUGGUGCUUAGCAGGCCUCUCAGCUGCUGGACACAAACAGCAGCGGAUGGUCCCGAGUCCUGCACAUGCACGAUCAUCUCAAAUCAUUCUUCACCACGCCCCUGGGAAGGCGGCCUCACCCUGCACACAAGGAAACCCCUGAAUCAGGAACGGGUGACUUGGCUCUGACUUGCAAGGGGCCGAACUGGGAUUUGAACCCGGGUCAGCCUGAUUCUAGGCAAAACUGCCUCCCUGGAGAAGUACCUUCCAGCCCAUGUCAGGUUAACACUGACCGAGAGCUUUGUGGAUCAAGGGGGCCAAAGUUAGUUUCUCCAAAUGGACUGGAAUUGGAGCAGAUCUGGGAGGGGGGAUAUUUACGGGUUCCCGUGGCCAUUUUCGGGAGAAGGCAGACACAGUGAUCGUAGAGUUCAUUCGACUGGACUCGCUCAGGAUGGAGAGAUAAAAGAGAGAGAGGAAGGAGCAAGAGAAAGAGGAUGGAUGGAGGGUCAUUCCACGGGGAGGGCCACUCUGCCCACUAGCUGCUGAUCAGCUUUGUGUGCAGUUGGUGCCCAUGAACCUCUGCAGGUGGCAGGCAGCCUCAGUUCCACAUGCCCCUCUCACUCUCACUGCCCUGUAAAGAUACUGAUUUUCAUUCUGCCCAGUGCAGAAACCCUCCAGGUGUGAGACGUAGAGGAAAGAGCACCAGGCCGGGGUCACAAAAACCAGGUACUGGCCCUGUCUUAGACCUUGAGUGAACUUGGGGAAGUCCCUUCUCUUUUCUGGGCCUUGUGAUCCCCCUCUGUAAAAUGGAGUAACGGCAAGAAUGGGUGAUGUCCCUUUCAGCUCUAACAUUGAAUUUGACUGAUCAUUCAUUCAGUCAACAAACAUGUAUUGAGCACCUGUUAUGUGCCAGGCUCUGCUCCAGGUGUUCGGGUUAUCAAUGAGCCAAUGAGAGGGAGACAGACAAAUUCUACUCUCAAGGAGCUUGUACUCUUGAUGGAGAGAUAGUGAAUACACUAACAGUAAAUAAGG
rnacentral:lncRNA from 10 species